rnacentral:rRNA from 1 species
GAUCAUAGCUCAGGACGAACGCUGGCGGCGCGCCUAACACAUGCAAGUCGAACGAGAGAUGAGGAGCUUGCUCUUCAAAUCGAGUGGCGAACGGGUGAGUAACGCGUGAGGAACCUGCCUCAAAGAGGGGGACAACAGUUGGAAACGACUGCUAAUACCGCAUAAGCCCACAGCUCGGCAUCGAGCAGAGGGAAAAGGAGCAAUCCGCUUUGAGAUGGCCUCGCGUCCG